ensembl:lncRNA
UGGAGGCCCGCGCUAAACGGGAAUACGGUUGCUCCUCGGCCAUAUCUCGGCUCGUCCCUUUUGCUGUUAAACAUGUUCCCGUAACGUGGAACAGAGCCCAACGUGAUCGUCCGGGCUGAAGGAGGAUUUGUUCUGCUCAUGACACGAGCUGAAUGCAAAUGACCCUCCGCGCUGCGCUCCUUCAUUUGGGAUUCAGAAGCAGCUGUGACGACCUCAUCAGUGAGAUGGAGCUGACUCCCGAGACGGAGAUGAGACAAAACCACAGACCUCCAAACGAGUUUCAGAAAGGAGAGGCGGGCGGUGACAGAAUUGCUCAGCCACCCCGAGUUACCUCUUGUCGCCGCCGAUUUCCUUCACAGUUCACGGCUAGGCCACACACACACACACACACACACACACAC